AGUGAACGCUGGCGGUAGGCCUAACACAUGCAAGUCGAACGGCAGCACAGUAAGAGCUUGCUCUUACGGGUGGCGAGUGGCGGACGGGUGAGGAAUACAUCGGAAUCUACUUUUUCGUGGGGGAUAACGUAGGGAAACUUACGCUAAUACCGCAUACGACCUACGGGUAAAAGCAGGGGAUCUUCGGACCUUGCGCGAUUGAAUGAGCCGAUGUCGGAUUAGCUGGUUGGCGGGGUAAAGGCCAACCAAGGCGACGAUCCGUAGCUGGUCUGAGAGGAUGAUCAGCCACACUGGAACUGAGACACGGUCCAGACUCCUACGGGAGGCAGCAGUGGGGAAUAUUGGACAAUGGGCGCAAGCCUGAUCCAGCCAUACCGCGUGGGUGAAGAAGGCCUUCGGGUUGUAAAGCCCUUUUGUUGGGAAAGAAAAGCAGCAGGUUAAUACCCCGCUGUUCUGACGGUACCCAAAGAAUAAGCACCGGCUAACUUCGUG
rnacentral:rRNA from 1 species